rnacentral:rRNA from 1 species
CGGUGUUUAACUGGCGUGAUGUGGGACGUCCUACCGGUGGGCUUAGCCUCGCGAGGGGCGGCCCAACUAAUAUCCCGUCGCGGUGCUCUUUACUGAGUGUCGAGUCGGGCCGGUACGUUUACUUUGAACAAAUUAGAGUGCUUAAAGCAGGCUAUCCUCGCCUGAAUACUGCGUGCAUGGAAUAAUGGAAUAGGACCUCGGUUCUAUUUUGUUGGUUUUCGGAACCCCGAGGUAAUGAUUAAUAGGGACAGAUGGGGGCAUUCGUAUUGCGACGUUAGAGGUGAAAUUCUUGGAUCGUCGCAAGACGGACAGAAGCGAAAGCAUUUGCCAAAAAUGUUUUCAUUAAUCAAGAACGAAAGUUAGAGGUUCGAAGGCGAUCAGAUACCGCCCUAGUUCUAACCAUAAACGAUGCCAGCUAGCGAUCCGCCGAAGUUCCUCCGAUGACUCGGCGGGCAGCUUCCGGGAAACCAAAGCUUUUGGGUUCCGGGGGAAGUAUGGUUGCAAAGCUGAAACUUAAAGGAAUUGACGGAAGGGCACCACCAGGAGUGGAGCCUGCGGCUUAAUUUGACUCAACACGGGAAACCUCACCAGGCCCAGACACCGGAAGGAUUGACAGAUUGACAGCUCUUUCUUGAUUCGGUGGGUGGUGGUGCAUGGCCGUUCUUAGUUGGUGGAGCGAUUUGUCUGGUUAAUUCCGAUAACGAACGAGACUCUAGCCUGCUAAAUAGGCGUACCUUAUGGUAUCGCGAAGGCCCCCGGCUUCGGCCGGUGGGUUUUUACUACCAACGUACAAACAAAUCUUCUUAGAGGGACAGGCGG